AGAGAGGUGUUAUGACGAGGCAAUACGGUGCUGAAGUGAUAAAGGCCCUGCUUCCAGGAAAAGCCUCUUAGCAUCAGGUAACACGAAAUAGUACCCCAAACCGACACAGGUGUUCAGGUAGAGAAUACCAAGGCGCUUGAGAGAACUCGGGUGUAGGAACUAGGAAAAAUGGUGCCGUAACUUCGGGAGAAGGCACGCUGAUAUGUAGGUGAAGCCCCUGCGGGCGGAGCUGAAAUCAGUCGAAGAUACAAGCUGGCUGCAACUGUUUAUUAAAAACACAGCACAGUGCAAACACGAAAGUGGACGUAUACGGUGUGACGCCUGCCCGGUGCCGGAAGGUUAAUUGAUGGGGUAAGCGGCAACGCGAAGCUCUUGAUCGAAGCCCCGGUAAACGGCGGCCGUACCUAUAACGGUCCUAAGGUAGCGAAAU
rnacentral:rRNA from 1 species